GGAUUAGUUACCCUGGUAGUCCACGCUGUAAACGAUGUGCACUAGGCGUUGGGGUGUUGAAACCUCAGUGCCGGAGCUAACGUGGUAAGUGCACCGCCUGGGGAGUAUGCCGGCAACGGUGAAACUCAAAGGAAUUGACGGGGGCCCGCACAAGCGGUGGAGCAUGUGGUUUAAUUCGAUUAUACGCGAGGAACCUUACCAGGGUUUGACAUAUACCGGGAGUCGUGGGAGACCACGGUGCCCUUCGGGGCCGGUAUACAGGUGCUGCAUGGCUGUCGUCAGCUCGUGCCG
rnacentral:rRNA from 1 species